UACAGGGGGAGCAAGCGUUGUUCGGAUUUACUGGGCGUAAAGGGCGCGUAGGCGGCGCAACAAGUCACUUGUGAAAUCUCCGGGCUUAACCCGGAGCGGCCAAGUGAUACUGUCGUGCUAGAGUGCGGAAGGGGCUACUGGAAUUCUUGGUGUAGCGGUGAAAUGCGCAGAUAUCAAGAGGAACACCGGUGGCGAAGGCGGGUCUCUGGGCCGUAACUGACGCUGAGGAGCGAAAGCAUGGGGAGCGAACAGG
rnacentral:rRNA from 1 species